GGCACUUAACGUUUUAAGUUGGACUAUUCAUGGUAUCGGACACUGCUCUCGCCGUCGUAGGAGUUUGUGACUGUGGGGCUACCACUGGAGGUGUGUGUAUUUGCACUGGGAAGUGAGCUUAGACCUGUUAGUUCUGUGGCUAAGUUAGCUCGUGGCUUCGCGGGACUGUGACACCGUCGUGGGAGGGACCGCAGACACACCGUUCGCCUGCUGGACGAGAGGAGACCACAUCGGAACGCUGGUGUUUUCCUCCACGGAGGGCUGUGUUGCUGGUGGUGACGGACGGACGAAGCUGUGUAACCCUCGCUGUGCUGCUGCGGACAACGUCGCCCCGGUAGGAUCUGGGUUUUCCACUCCACUCAAGGAGUGGCUGCUAGUGGAGACACUGACCUGGAAAGAGAUGAUCUGACCAGGUGUCGACUCCCAAGCCUUGCACAGAUGGAUGAUCAACUGCAAGAAGAGAUGGAGAGAAAGAAAAAUGAAACUACCAUUAGCAUGAAGAAGGAAAUUGUGGAUUGUCUCAGGUGAUUGCUUGCGUACCAGUGGCUGCAUUCAUUCCAGUUUCCAUCUCUCCAUCCUUUUUGUUUGUUUGUCUGUUUGUUUGUGGAAGUUAAUUUACCUCCCAAGUUAGAUAAAGUGGAGAUGGAACAUCAUCUAGCUGUGACUGACUUUCCACACAUGUACACAGCAUACACACGUUCAAAGUCUUGACCUUAGCUAUUGUUGACUUUCAUUGGAUGAUCAAUCCCUCUGCUCUGACAUGACUCAUAUGAGUCAUAUUUGGAGGUUUGUU